CGGAUCCUUCGGGAUUAGUGGCAGACGGGUGAGUAACGCGUGGGAAGCUACCUUGUGGUAGGGGACAACAGUUGGAAACGACUGCUAAUACCCUAUGAGCCCUAUGGGGGAAAGAUUUAUCGCCAUGAGAUGUGCCCGCGUUAGAUUAGCUAGUUGGUAAGGUAAUGGCUUACCAAGGCGACGAUCUAUAGCUGGUCUGAGAGGAUGAUCAGCCACACUGGGACUGAGACACGGCCCAGACUCCUACGGGAGGCAGCAGUGGGGAAUAUUGGACAAUGGGGGCAACCCUGAUCCAGCCAUGCCGCGUGUGUGAUGACGGCCUUAGGGUUGUAAAGCACUUUCAGCAGUGAAGAUAAUGACAUUAACUGCAGAAGAAGCCCCGGCUAACUUCGUGCCAGCAGCCGCGGUAAUACGAAGGGGGCUAGCGUUGUUCGGAAUCACUGGGCGUAAAGAGUACGUAGGCGGACUGAUAAGUUAGGGGUGAAAUCCCAAGGCUCAACCUUGGAACUGCCUUUGAUACUGUCAGUCUUGAGAUCGAGAGAGGUGAGUGGAACUCCGAGUGUAGAGGUGAAAUUUCGUAGAUAUUCGGAAGAACACCAGUGGCGAAGGCGGCUCACUGGCUCGAUACUUGACGCUGAGGUACGAAAGCGUGGGGGAGCAAACAGGGA
rnacentral:rRNA from 1 species